AUGCUGGUGAAUUUAUUAAAAUAUAGUUCUGAUAGUGUUGCCAGGUUUGUCAUGUCAUCCCAGAAGUCUCCAUCUGCAGAGACUCAGGAAAAAGUAGGACUGAAGAGGAAGCUGACCGGUCCUCCAAGACUCCUGUUGAGCAAAUCCAAGUCAAAAGGCCCCCACAAGGAGAAAGAAUACAGUACAAAUAACACUACUGGCUGUAAUGGGACUCAGAGGGGAUCCAUGUCAGAACAUCGGUUGGCCAUCAGAGAAGAGUCACUAAGGGCUGCAUCUGAAGAUCCUGAGAGAUCCACAGAAGAGUGUGGAGAAACAACACCUAGAGAUCCAGCUGGGUUGUCUGGAGGCCCUGUCAUCUCAGAAGGUAAAAUGGGAGAAGAACACACUAACAGCAAACAAAAUGUGAAAAAACAUGUGAAACCGAGGGGUUGGAAAAACUGUUGCUACCCUUCUCUCAUUUGCCUAAGAAGAAAGCCAGGAAAGCUAGAAAAAGUGUUGGCCAAGGAAGGGGAUCAGUGUGCUGGAAUCAGUUUCUGUGAAACACAGUCCAGGAGCUAUGUAGACUCUGGUGAAGACAAUGUUAAGGGAGAUGCAGUUUCUCUAGUGGGGACAAAGUCAGAGGUUACUGUUUGCACCAACACUUCUGGUACAAAAGGAGACAGAUUCACAGCUGGAAAAUGGGGGACUUUUAAGAGACUAUUAGGUACAACCAAAUAUGCCCCAGAGACCAAAGGAGGUCUUCCACGGCAGGCGCCUCCUUUUGAACCUGAGAAAAGUCCCCAUUCACAUUUUUCCUUCAGGAAUAAAUUAGGCACUCUCUUAAAGAACAGAAACAAAAAGCCUUCUCCUUUCUUCCAGGAGAGAUUUGUGGAAAGCCAUGAAUACAUAGAGGAGGAGAACAUAGUUCUUUCAAACAAGUGUGCUGAUGAUCUUAUGCCAGACACAGCUCAUGUUAUCCAAGAGGGAGGAUAUUUGGAGGGGGGGGAAAUGUGCAGAGGGCCAUGCUCUGAAAUGCUGACUGUGAGCGUGGAGGUAACUGCCAUAGCUUUAGGGGGCAAAGAAAGCCGAAACCUCCCAGAACUAAGCAUGAGCUCUCUGGAGCCUGAGGAUCACACACCCACUCAAGGUCAGAAGCAAGGUGGAGGAAAAUCAGCAGAAUAUGCAGAGGAAAGACUAGAUUCAAUUAAUGGGAUGUUGAGAGUAGUGGAUGCUUCAGAGAUUGGAGAUGCUGCAAUACUUGUGCCAAAUGAUGUAUUGUUGGAAGAGAAAAAGGAAACACUGGUUCUAAAGAAAGAUCUAAUCUCAAAUGUACCAGGCAAAACAGACAGGGAUUUCAAAGAAGCCCUGCUACAGGAAACGGGACCUGUGACUGAUAAAUGCAGGGAUUUAGUGGCAGAGUCUCAUGACUCUGAGGAAUAUGACAGUGUAACAGAAGUAAACUCCCCUCCAAACAGUACGGCAGGUGAAAGCAGUGUGCAAGAUGACUUGCCCUUGAAAAAUGUGGAGUUUGACUGUGCAGUAUGUUGUGAGGAAAUUAAUGGGGCUGUAAAAAACAUUAGUGAUGCUUCCCCUAUAGAGAACCUCCAGUCUGGUGACAGUGGCUACCAGUCAGAGCUCAGUGCUGAGAAACUUGGUCCUCAAUGCAAUGAGAUGUUACUUAGGCAGACUGCAUAUAGUCUGGUUCAGGCAGCCAUAAAGGCUGCUCUGGAUCAGCUUGAGGGGGAGCUGAAGAACAGUACAGUAAGCACCCACAGAGAGCUGCAAGAGCUUCAGGGUCAGGCUUAA
rnacentral:lncRNA from 1 species